rnacentral:rRNA from 1 species
GACGAACGCUGGCGGCGUGCCUAAUACAUGCAAGUCGAACGCACUCUCGUUUAGAUUGAAGGAGUUUGCUCCUGAUUGAUAAACAUUUGAGUGAGUGGCGGACGGGUGAGUAACACGUGGGUAACCUGCCCUAAAGUGGGGGAUAACAUUUGGAAACAGAUGCUAAUACCGCAUAAAACCUAACACCGCAUGGUGUAGGGUUGAAAGAUGGUUUCGGCUAUCACUUUAGGGUGGACCCGCGGUGCAUUAGUUAGUUGGUGAGGUAAAGGCUCACCAAGACCGUGAUGCAUAGCCGACCUGAGAGGGUAAUCGGCCACACUGGGACUGAGACACGGCCCAGACUCCUACGGGAGGCAGCAGUAGGGAAUCUUCCACAAUGGACGAAAGUCUGAUGGAGCAACGCCGCGUGAGUGAAGAAGGUUUUCGGAUCGUAAAACUCUGUUGUUGGAGAAGAAUGUAUCUGAUAGUAACUGAUCAGGUAGUGACGGUAUCCAACCAGAAAGCCACGGCUAACUACGUG